rnacentral:rRNA from 1 species
CAUGUCUUUAAGAUUAAUAAUUUAAAGUYUGAUCUGCUCCAUGAUUUAUUAAAUAGCUGCAGUAUCCUGACUGUACAAAGGUAGCAUAAUCAAUAGUUUUUUAAUUAAAAGCUGGAAUGAAGGAUUUGAUAAGGUAAAUGUUGUCUCAAUUUAAGUAAAAUUAUAAUUUUUUUUUUAGUAAAAAUACUAAAUUGAAUUUAAAAGACGAGAAGACCCUAUAGAUUUUUAUAUUUUUUAAUUUAAUUAAUUUAAAAAAAAAUUUUUUUUAAAUUAAAAAUUAUUUGGUUGGGGUAAUUAUUAAAUUAAUUAAAUUUUAAUUAUUUAAAAACAAAAAUUAUUGGAUUAAUGAUCUUAAAAUUUUAGAAUAAAAGAAUAAAAUACCUUAGGGAUAACAGCGUAAUUUUUUUGAAGAGAUCAUAUUGAUAAAAAAGUUUGCGACCUCGAUGUUGAAUUAAGAUAAAAUUUUAAUGGAGAAAUUAAAAAUUUUUGGUCUGUUCGACCAUUAAAAUCUUACGUGA